rnacentral:rRNA from 1 species
CCUACGGGUGGCAGCAGUGAGGAAUAUUGGUCAAUGGACGAAAGUCUGAACCAGCCAAGCCGCGUGAAGGAUGACUGCCCUAUGGGUUGUAAACUUCUUUUAUAUGGGAGUAAAAUGUUCCACGUGUGGGAUGUUGUAUGUACCAUAUGCAUAAGGAUCGGCUAACUCCGUGCCAGCAGCCGCGGUAAUACGGAGGGUCCGAGCGUUAUCCGGAUUUGUUGGGUUUAAAGGGAGCGUAGGUGGAUUGUUAAGUCAGUUGUGAAAGUUUGCGGCUCAACCGUAAAAUUGCAGUUGAAACUGGCAGUCUUGAGUACAGUAGAGGUGGGCGGAAUUCGUGGUGUAGCGGUGAAAUGCUUAGAUAUCACGAAGAACACCGAUUGCGAAGGCAGCUCACUGGACUGCAACUGACACUGAGGCUCGAAAGUGUGGGUAUCAAACAGGAUUAGAUACCCGAGUAGUC